rnacentral:rRNA from 1 species
AAGGUUGUUCCCUUGAGGAGUGGCUUUCGGAGCUAACGCGUUAAAUCGACCGCCUGGGGAGUACGGCCGCAAGGUUAAAACUCAAAUGAAUUGACGGGGGCCCGCACAAGCGGUGGAGCAUGUGGUUUAAUUCGAUGCAACGCGAAGAACCUUACCUACUCUUGACAUCCAGAGAAUUUAGCAGAGAUGCUUUAGUGCCUUCGGGAACUCUGAGACAGGUGCUGCAUGGCUGUCGUCAGCUCGUGUUGUGAAAUGUUGGGUUAAGUCCCGCAACGAGCGCAACCCUUAUCCUUUGUUGCCAGCGAUUCGGUCGGGAACUCAAAGGAGACUGCCGGUGAUAAACCGGAGGAAGGUGGGGAUGACGUCAAGUCAUCAUGGCCCUUACGAGUAGGGCUACACACGUGCUACAAUGGCGUAUACAAAGAGAAGCGACCUCGCGAGAGCAAGCGGAACUCAUAAAGUACGUCGUAGUCCGGAUUGGAGUCUGCAACUCGACUCCAUGAAGUCGGAAUCGCUAGUAAUCGUAGAUCAGAAUGCUACGGUGAAUACGUUCCCGGGCCUUGUACACACCGCCCGUCACACCAUGGGAGUGGGUUGCAAAAGAAGUAGGUAGCUUAACCUUCGGGAGGGCGCUUACCACUUUGUGAUUCAUGACUGGGGUGAAGUCGUA